GAUGAACGCUGGCGGCGUGCCUAAUACAUGCAAGUCGAGCGAAUGGAUUAAGAGCUUGCUCUUAUGAAGUUAGCGGCGGACGGGUGAGUAACACGUGGGUAACCUGCCCAUAAGACUGGGAUAACUCCGGGAAACCGGGGCUAAUACCGGAUAACAUUUUGAACCGCAUGGUUCGAAAUUGAAAGGCGGCUUCGGCUGUCACUUAUGGAUGGACCCGCGUCGCAUUAGCUAGUUGGUGAGGUAACGGCUCACCAAGGCAACGAUGCGUAGCCGACCUGAGAGGGGGAUCGGCCACCCUGGGACUGAGACACGGCCCAGAAUACUACGGGAGGCAGCAGUAGGGAAUCUUCCGCAAUGGACGAAAGUCUGACGGAGCAACGCCGCGUGAGUGAUGAAGGCUUUCGGGUCGUAAAACUCUGUUGUUAGGGAAGAACAAGUGCUAGUUGAAUAAGCUGGCACCUUGACGGUACCUAACCAGAAAGCCACGGCUAACUACGUGCCAGCCGCCGCAGUAA
rnacentral:rRNA from 1 species